rnacentral:rRNA from 1 species
AACGAACGCUGGCGGCAUGCCUAACACAUGCAAGUCGAACGAGACCUUCGGGUCUAGUGGCGCACGGGUGCGUAACGCGUGGGAAUCUGCCCUUGGGUUCGGAAUAACUUCGGGAAACUGAAGCUAAUACCGGAUGAUGACGUAAGUCCAAAGAUUUAUCGCCCAAGGAUGAGCCCGCGUAGGAUUAGCUAGUUGGUGAGGUAAAGGCUCACCAAGGCGACGAUCCUUAGCUGGUCUGAGAGGAUGAUCAGCCACACUGGGACUGAGACACGGCCCAGACUCCUACGGAGGCAGCAGUGGGGAAUAUUGGACAAUGGGCGAAAGCCUGAUCCAGCAAUGCCGCGUGAGUGAUGAAGGCCUAGGGUUGUAAAGCUCUUUUUACCCGGGAUGAUAAUGACAGUACCGGGAGAAUAAGCUCCGGCUAACUACGUGCCAGCAGCCGCGGUAAAGUNACGUA